rnacentral:tRNA from 1 species
GCCCCAGUAGCUUAGUGGGAGAGCACCUGACUUGUAAUCAGGAGGUCGGGAGUUCAAAUCUCCCCUGGGGCU